GAUGAACGCUGGCGGCGUGCCUAAUACAUGCAAGUCGAGCGAACGGACGAGAAGCUUGCUUCUCUGAUGUUAGCGGCGGACGGGUGAGUAACACGUGGAUAACCUACCUAUAAGACUGGGAUAACUUCGGGAAACCGGAGCCAAUACCGGAUAAUAUUUUGAACCGCAUGGUUCAAAAGUGAAAGACGGUCUUGCUGUCACUUAUAGAUGGAUCCGCGCUGCAUUAGCUAGUUGGUAAGGUAACGGCUUACCAAGGCAACGAUGCAUAGCCGACCUGAGAGGGUGAUCGGCUACACUGGAACUGAGACACGGUCCAGACUCCUACGGGAGGCAGCAGUAGGGAAUCUUCCGCAAUGGGUGAAAGCCUGACGGAGCAACGCCGCGUGAGUGAUGAAGGUCUUCGGAUCGUAAAACUCUGUUAUUAGGGAAGAACAUAUGUGUAAGUAACUGUGCACAUCUUGACGGUACCUAAUCAGAAAGCCACGGCUAACUACGUG
rnacentral:rRNA from 1 species